GGAAAGAUGUCCGAGUGGUUUAAGGUACAUCCUUGGAAGGGAUGCAUAGGAGCAAUCCUAUCUGGGGUUCGAAUCCCCAUCUUUCCG
rnacentral:tRNA from 1 species